CCUUUUGUAUAAUGGGUCAGCGACUUAUAUUCUGUAGCAAGGUUAACCGAAUAGGGGAGCCGAAGGGAAACCGAGUCUUAACUGGGCGUUAAGUUGCAGGGUAUAGACCCGAAACCCGGUGAUCUAGCCAUGGGCAGGUUGAAGGUUGGGUAACACUAACUGGAGGACCGAACCGACUAAUGUUGAAAAAUUAGCGGAUGACUUGUGGCUGGGGGUGAAAGGCCAAUCAAACCGGGAGAUAGCUGGUUCUCCCCGAAAGCUAUUUAGGUAGCGCCUCGUGAAUUCAUCUCCGGGGGUAGAGCACUGUUUCGGCAAGGGGGUCAUCCCGACUUACCAACCCGAUGCAAACUGCGAAUACCGGAGAAUGUUAUCACGGGAGACACACGGCGGGUGCUAACGUCCGUCGUGAAGAGGGAAACAACCCAGACCGCCAGCUAAGGUCCCAAAGUCAUGGUUAAGUGGGAAACGAUGUGGGAAGGCCCAGACAGCCAGGAUGUUGGCUUAGAAGCAGCCAUCAUUUAAAGAAAGCGUAAUAGCUCACUGGUCGAGUCGGCCUGCGCGGAAGAUGUAACGGGGCUAAACCAUGCACCGAAGCUGCGGCAGCGACGCUAUGCGUUGUUGGGUAGGGGAGCGUUCUGUAAGCCUGUGAAGGUGUGCUGUGAGGCAUGCUGGAGGUAUCAGAAGUGCGAAUGCUGACAUAAGUAACGAUAAAGCGGGUGAAAAGCCCGCUCGCCGGAAGACCAAGGGUUCCUGUCCAACGUUAAUCGGGGCAGGGUGAGUCGACCCCUAAGGCGAGGCCGAAAGGCGUAGUCGAUGGGAAACAGGUUAAUAUUCCUGUACUUGGUGUUACUGCGAAGGGGGGACGGAGAAGGCUAUGUUGGCCGGGCGACGGUUGUCCCGGUUUAAGCGUGUAGGCUGGUUUUCCAGGCAAAUCCGGAAAAUCAAGGCUGAGGCGUGAUGACGAGGCACUACGGUGCUGAAGCAACAAAUGCCCUGCUUCCAGGAAAAGCCUCUAAGCAUCAGGUAACAUCAAAUCGUACCCCAAACCGACACAGGUGGUCAGGUAGAGAAUACCAAGGCGCUUGAGAGAACUCGGGUGAAGGAACUAGGCAAAAUGGUGCCGUAACUUCGGGAGAAGGCACGCUGAUAUGUAGGUGAAGUCCCUCGCGGAUGGAGCUGAAAUCAGUCGAAGAUACCAGCUGGCUGCAACUGUUUAUUAAAAACACAGCACUGUGCAAACACGAAAGUGGACGUAUACGGUGUGACGCCUGCCCGGUGCCGGAAGGUUAAUUGAUGGGGUCAGCGCAAGCGAAGCUCUUGAUCGAAGCCCCGGUAAACGGCGGCCGUAACUAUAACGGUCCUAAGGUAGCGAAAUUCCUUGUCGGGUAAGUUCCGACCUGCACGAAUGGCGUAAUGAUGGCCAGGCUGUCUCCACCCGAGACUCAGUGAAAUUGAACUCGCUGUGAAGAUGCAGUGUACCCGCGGCAAGACGGAAAGACCCCGUGAACCUUUACUAUAGCUUGACACUGAACAUUGAGCCUUGAUGUGUAGGAUAGGUGGGAGGCUUAGAAGUGUGGACGCCAGUCUGCAUGGAGCCGACCUUGAAAUACCACCCUUUAAUGUUUGAUGUUCUAACGUUGACCCGUAAUCCGGGUUGCGGACAGUGUCUGGUGGGUAGUUUGACUGGGGCGGUCUCCUCCUAAAGAGUAACGGAGGAGCACGAAGGUUGGCUAAUCCUGGUCGGACAUCAGGAGGUUAGUGCAAUGGCAUAAGCCAGCUUGACUGCGAGCGUGACGGCGCGAGCAGGUGCGAAAGCAGGUCAUAGUGAUCCGGUGGUUCUGAAUGGAAGGGCCAUCGCUCAACGGAUAAAAGGUACUCCGGGGAUAACAGGCUGAUACCGCCCAAGAGUUCAUAUCGACGGCGGUGUUUGGCACCUCGAUGUCGGCUCAUCACAUCCUGGGGCUGAAGUAGGUCCCAAGGGUAUGGCUGUUCGCCAUUUAAAGUGGUACGCGAGCUGGGUUUAGAACGUCGUGAGACAGUUCGGUCCCUAUCUGCCGUGGGCGCUGGAGAACUGAGGGGGGCUGCUCCUAGUACGAGAGGACCGGAGUGGACGCAUCACUGGUGUUCGGGUUGUCAUGCAAAUGGCACUGCCCGGUAGCUAAAUGCGGAAGAGAUAAGUGCUGAAAGCAUCUAAGCACGAAACUUGCCCCGAGAUGAGUUCUCCCUGACUCCUUGAGAGUCCUGAAGGAACGUUGAAGACGACGACGUUGAUAGGCCGGGUGUGUAAGCGCAGCGAUGCGUUGAGCUAACCGGUACUAAUGAACCGUGAGGCUUAACCUU
rnacentral:rRNA from 1 species